rnacentral:lncRNA from 1 species
UGGGCACAAGAGGGCCUUGAUAUCAUGGAGUUGUCAAAUAGGAGCAAAACUUUUCUUUGUAAGCCCUAAGUUGUUAUUCACCCUAAUUUUCUUUGGGCUCAAUCAGUAUGUGCUAAAUAUUAGUUUCAAGGUACAUAGUAUAAGUAUCAUAAGCCCCAAUGAUGCUCAGCAUUUGGGCCCUAAUUUCUUAAUUUGACCACUU